CCAAAGAAGAAGAAGGAAGAAGAAGAAGAGGAGGGGGAGGGAUUAGAGAGGAGGAGGAAGGGAAGAAAGAAGAUAACUUUGGGGAAAGAAAGAAGCCAGACACCAGCAUGUUGGGGAAGGCAAACCAUUGCAACUCUAGUCUUGAAACUACAGUUUUGAAGAUUGGCUCAUCACACCCAACUCUUCGGAGACGCCGUUUAUUAUAAGACACCCAAUCACUGGACACAAAUUGGAAGAGGAAAAGUUUUCCUCCCGGCAGAAAUACAAGUUCAUUCUUGAAGAGAUCAAAAUGGAGCACUUGUAAAGAACUUUGAGCUGUUAUUUAAAGGCUGAUCUUCAUUUCCUGACCCUGAGAAGGAACAUUCACUGAAUUCAACAAUUUAUUCAACCAAGAAAUAUUUCCUGAGGAUCCACCAUGUGCCGACACUGCUAGAUGCUGAGGAUACAAGGAAGAACAAGCUGUCUUGUCUGCUUCCUGCAAGAGUUCCCAUACCUGAUCUUCCAAAGCCUAAGUGCAGGAAAGAAAAGAGUGUCAUUCAAUAAGGGAAUGCUCCUUCACCCUGGAUCUUAAAAUAAGGAAGACAUGCAAAACUGAACUGUAAUUACCAUGAAGGCAAGAUGUAAUAUGAG